ensembl:lncRNA
UAUCGGGCGAGGAGAAACUAAACACAUAUAUGUAAUAUAUGUAGAAUGCAUAUGAAGAACUUCACCAGAAAUGUGCGUCAUAUCUGAAUACUAAAAGAGAAUAGGCCGAUGAAGAGGAUAUCAAUCAAUUGAUCCGACGAGUCGAGAUCUAUCAGAUUUCACUCAUACCCGUAAUCGGAGGGCAGGAUGUUGGGGGAAAUGCUAGGAGUCCAGCAGCAGAUUAAAGAGACUGGAACAUACUGGAAUAUGAAAUUCACUUUUCUAUCUCAGCUGUGUCAUUUCAUAAACGAUUGGAAUUGCAUUGUACAUCCCAACGGGCAAAUCUGUGAAUCUCUAUUUAAGUCCAACCGGAGUUGAAGUGUGAUGGAAUGUAAAAAUGAGAGUAAUGAGGAGGGGGAGCAUUUGAACGAUUGAUCUAAACAGGCUGGUGACGGGAGGGAGCUCCUCUUAAGAUAAAGAGAAAAAAAAAAAAAAUCCGACCCAAAGUCCUCCACUGUGCUAUCGAAUGUGUCACCCUCUGUUGGAGCGCCAGCGAGGGUUUAUCUCCACAGCUUGGUAAGGAGGCUUCUUUACUCCCAUCUAACACCAUCCACACUCUCCUCACCCCCCUCCCCCUUCUACCUCCUCACACCCGCCCCACUAGUCCUCCAGCGCACCACCAUCCCGACAUCUCCCUCUACCUCCUACCACAUCGCUCCAUGGGUGACUGUCCGGUAAGGCGUAGUCGAGGCCGGCAGGGCACGUUGCACAAACGCUGCGAUCCGUAGUUUGGAUCAGCGCAUGAAGGAAUACCUUUGCACACAUAAAAACAUACACAUAUCGUGAUCAGCGGGGUUUGACUGGAUUUCUGUUUGAUGUUUUGUAGACCGCGGGGAGAUGGCGGCUAUGGUAGAUUUAGCGUGCUUUUGUUCCACUGUAGAACUGCACUGUGCUGGAAGCAGUUUGUUUGGUGCGUGCUGGACUUGAUUUAUCACCAUGCAUAUACUGUACUUUUAAGGAUUACCUGCUUUUAUCAGUCUAUUUUCAUUGUAAAUUGAAUAUUAAUGGGUUUGGGUAUGCUCGGACAAAACAAGGAAAUUGCACUGUUCUGAGAAACUGUGAUAUUUCAACAUUUUCUGACAUUUAAUAGACCAGCUAAAUUUAGAUUUUGAGGAUUACGGCUAAAUCAAAGAUGAUUCCGUCAUUCCAACAUUGUGACCAUAGCAUGGAAGUCCGUCUGAUACCGCACAG